GACGAACCGAGCAAACGUUAUUCGGAAUCACUGGGCUUAAAGGGCGCGUAGGCGGGUCAGCAAGUCAGGGGUGAAAGCCCCCAGCUCAACUGGGGAAGUGCCUUUGAUACUGUUGAUCUCGAGGGAGGUAGGGGCGUGCGGAACUUCCGGUGGAGCGGUGAAAUGCGUAGAUAUCGGAAGGAACACCGGUGGCGAAAGCGGCGCGCUGGACCUCUUCUGACGCUGAGGCGAGAAAGCCAGGGGAGCAAACGGG
rnacentral:rRNA from 1 species